UGGCAGUCUCUUAGAUGGUGGCCUGCAGGAGGAAGGAUUUUGUUUGUUUGUUUUCUGAGAAGGUGAGGGAAGGACUUUGUGUAGGCAUUUCCGGUGUGGGGGAAACAGCUUGCGUUUCGCCGUUACCACAGUAACCUGACGUCAUCAUGGCGACCAAGGCGACCAAGACGACUUUUUAAGACUAGGAGGUGAUCUGGUGAGAGAAGAGCACGGCCCCGCCUCCAGCUCCUCAUAUGGCUCAUAUCAGGUGUCUAAAGAAGACAGUUUUCUGAGGAUGUGGGUCAUGAUUGCUGCUGAAGAUCUGAAGGGCAACAGUGCUCAGGACACUCCCAACACUUCCAUCCCUGAUCCCCUACUGCCUCAUAGAAAACCAGAGAGGAGGUAACAUGAGGAGAACAAAUGGACAUUUUCAUCUCAACAGUGGCAGAGUAAAGUGUAGAUGGACACAAUACCUUUAUUUAUUUAUAUGUGAUGCUGAGGAUCAAACCCAGUGCCUCACACGUGUUAGCAUAUUUCCUUGAGCUCCUGAAGGGAGAGAGCAAAUCUUCUUGCUGUGUAUUCUGGAAAUGAUGCUGGAGCAAGACAGACAGAUCUCCCUGGGCAAGCAUUAUAUCCAAACCAGAAACUCUGGAACAUUCUUGACUUGGGGGGCUUGAGACAAGCUCAGAUUACACUGUUCUGCUAUCGUGGCCUCAUGAGCCCUACUCAGCAACCAAUGAGGAGGAGAUAGGAGAAGAAAUCCUGCCCUUUUUGCCAAGAUACCUGGGUGUAGGGCCACAUGCCAUGGUUGAUCCCUGAAGCAUGAGUGGGAUCAGGAAGCAGCUCAGCUGUUGCCCUUGGGACCAGUAAGCUAUAAAGAAGGAAACUUUGUAUAGAGGUUUGAUGAUGGAGGAACAUUGAUGCCACCUGGUGACAGAAUCCUGAACUGCAACUUGAACACCCUUAAGCAGGUAGAAGGGAGGGAGAGGCUGUGGCCCAAGACUCUACCUACAGAACUUUCUGGAAGUUUAUGUGGAAAGGGGGACAUUCCCAGGAUGCAAGUAUACAGACAGCCUUCAGAUGGAAAGUGCUGAAGAGAAAGCUCUAUGUGAGAGGAACAAAAAGAUCAUUUAAAGUUCUAUGCUUUGAGAUCUUUUCAUGAAUAGCUAGAGAUUUAUAUAAGAAUAAAUAGAACCAGGACAUUUAUUACCUUAGUAACCUUUACUCUUUUUAACAUUUAUUUUUUUAGUUGUAGUUGGACACAAUACCUUUAUUUAUUUAUUUUUAUAUGGUGCUGAGGAUCACAUCUAGGGCCUCUCAUAUGCUAGGCAAGUGUUCUACCUCUGAGCCACAACCCCAGCCCCUUCCUUUACUCUUAUUAUGACCAUUUUUCCCCAUUUCAGGGAUGUUAUACCGUACCCAGCUCUUUUGUAAGCAUUUUUAUACAUAGUUCCUGAAAGUAUCCUUUCAAACCACAGGCAAAUAUAAAAUUUUGUACUAAUAUAAAGAAUUCAAGAUAUGAUUAAUUUAUAUUCCUUAUAUUACAGUGAAUAAAUACCUGUAUCUCUAUGUUAUCAAACUUUAUAUAAAGAUGUGGAUGCAAGGAGAAAAAAACUACUAAAACUCUCAUAGAAGUCAGCAAAUGAAUUGCAGGGAGAUCAGUAGUGUGUUUUAGUAGCACAUUUCUAUGGUAAAAUGUGAAAUUGCAAGAUAAUUUCAACAUUUUCAUAUAAACCAGUGUUUCCUAAUAGCAUGCCCCAAAUUUUAUUUCAUCAGUACCUGUACUGAUGCACACUAAUAAAAAUUGAUCAAUCUUAUUAAAUAGUGUAUAUUAAUGGUGUUAAAUUUCCAUGGUCUUUGAUUAAGCCAUCUCAACUGUGGAAUUUACCUUCCUUAUGUGGUAGGAAGAGUCCCCUGUCUUCACUUAUCCCUGAAGUAGGUGGAUACUUACAACCCCUUGGGGGAAAAAGGAAACUGUGGACUCUGACCUUUUGCAACUUCCUUAAUCUGACAAAGUUCCCCUGUCUGCCAAAAGUAAGCCUGCCAAAAAUAUCUGACAAACUCUUCCCAUGAUGAGGCCCCGAUAAAACCUAUAAAACUCAGACUCUUGUUGUAGCCAGUCACCAUUUUCCUCUUGAAAAUGUGCCCCUCCACUACUUAAUAAAGAAUUGCUAGUCCAUUGAGGUCUGUCUUUGUUUCUUUUCCUUUUUGCUUUCUCUUUCAUUUGCUUUCAGUUCCAUCCUGAUAAGGGCAGAGAAGGCCACUUCCCUGGCUAACUCAGAGUCUUCAAGCCCCCUAUACCUCAGGCAUUGUUUUAUAAUGUAGUUUUUUAAAAGUAAUUAUUUAGGUAUGGCAAGCCUAGGAGAUCAGAAGACCUCUGCUGUGGAGAAGAGUUUGCUUCUCACAGUUGAGAGAAUCUUCAAGCCACACAGGGAACAUAAGUCCACAUAGGGAAGCACUAGUUUAAGUCAGGAGGCAGAGGGAACAGGAGAUAAGGACAUUAUUAUGUUAAGUUCAUCAGGAAGGGACUGAAAUCAAAGUAUACAAGUUUAGGGCUGGCUACAUUUAAUUUCUUUUGGCUGUGGGGUGGGGAGCUGUCAUGAUUUUUCUGUUUUAGUCACUAGGGUGAUUAGGACAGGAAAUUAUUGGCCUGCAGUUUAAAAGCUCAAUACCAUAUAUAUGCUUGAGGGAAGGCCUGUUUGUGUUGGUUUAUAUAUGAAAGGCACACUCCCAUGUGAGUUAUGUUCUAGCUCCAGGAAUUAGCUAACUCAGAAGGGCUUUCCUUCUCUUGUAAGCAAGGACUCAGAUGCCAUAUCAUCAAGUAUGCAGUAAAUAAGGAGAAAUAGUUAAUACAUCCAGCCAUCCCUUCAGUCAAACAGGAAAAUCUGCCUCAUGAUUGAGAUGGACCAUCCACAGAGUCACCACAAGUGUUGAUAUGGGGCAGUGCUCAGGCAACCCUCCAUAGGGAGAGCUCUUUGUUUAACCAAUGUGCUCCAUGCAACCAGUAGCCCUAGAUGGAUUCAAAGCAGAUGCCAGGACCAGCCAUCAUCCACAUCAGGGAGCUCUCUGGAUGUAACAGAUGAGUGGAGCCUCCAGAUGCCAGCAGCACUAGAUGACAGACACCACAUGUAGCAGAAAAUGCCCAGUUGAGCCCAGCCACCAGAAACAAGCCACUUAUAAGGAGAAAGAGGAGUCCUAAAUUGUGAAGGGAAGGACAAGGGAACAGAAGGAAGACUGACUGGAAGGAAGACAAGGAAACAGAAGGAAGACUGCUCUGAUUCCAGAGCAGCGUCCUGGCUCCAGCUCUUCAUCUGGUGUUUGAGCUCAUAUCAGAUGUCUAAAGAAGAUAGUUUCUGAGGUUGUGGGUCAUGAUGGCUGCUGAAGCUUCUACUCCAGAUCUGAAGGGUAGCAGUGCUCAGGAGACCCCAGACACUUACAUCCCUGAGUAUAACAUCAGAGAAGGGUGGGAAUGCUGUACUCCAGAACAAGGGGCUCUUGGAGAAGAACCAAGUUUGCUAUGGAAUCUGCUGGAGAGGUUACUGGAACAAGAAUGAAGAGGUCAUAGGUACACAAAGGAUUUCCCUAAGUUGCUGAAGCUAACCUUGGCCUUGCAAUUGUCCUGCCUUAUUCUCAUGAGUCACUGGGAUUACAGGGAUCUCUUAUGCAGUUUUUAAGUAGCAGUCAGAGCUAAAAUCCUAACCAGCACACUCAGGAAGAAGAAACACACCACAGUUGAACUCUGUCAUCCUAUUUUGGGUUCCCACCAUAAUGUGUUGCCUUACCAUAGGACCAAGGCCAUCAACUGGAUCCUUGAAAACUGUGAGUCAAAUAAACCAUUUCUCCUUAAAAGUUAAUUAUCUCAGAUUUUGUGUUAUAGUGAUGGAGAGCUGACUACCUGAAGCCAUCCAUGGGCUCUCAGCCACCAAUCAUGUCAUUAGCACACAAAAGAAUUAUUUCUCAAGAUUUCAAGAGAUUUGGGAGCUUUUUGUCAGGAUUUGGGUAUUCUUCAACUUUUGACUUGUUAUGAAUUUUGGUCCUGUGGACAUUCUUGUUUGUAUUGAUUUGGUUCAGGAAUCACUAAACUCAAAAUAAUGCUCAUUGGCAAACAGAUUAUUUUAACCUGAAGGAAUGUGAGAAAAUUAUAGAAGCAGAAAGCUGUCACUUUCUUCUGCCUUUCUCCCCUGAAGCAGGUAAUAAAAUCCUCAGGUGAGACGUACCCUCUCUAUUCCCAGAGGACAGUAGCAUCUUUAUUUGUGAAGGUGAAGGGCCUCAGAAGAAAGUCUGACCAGUGGUGCCUUGCUCAGUUUACUUCAUGUUAGAUCAUUUCCUCUAUCGCAUUUCUCCACAGUUGUCUACUCUUCAUCCAACCUCUCAUAAAAGUAUCAGAUUUAACCCUUUAUCUGAGUCUCCAUUUCUUUAUGAAGGCUCCCAUUUCAUGUAAAACAUAUAUUUAAUACUUGUGGAUGUUUUUCUCUUGAUAAUCUGUCAUUUAUUAUCUUCUGUUUGAGGGAUCUCAGCCAUGAACCCAAGAUGGGUAGAGGAAAAGUUACAUUUUCCUUUCAUAUAGUAUGUUUCAGUGGACAUGUAUUUCAUUUAUCUUGAGCAUGUACCUGAGUGGCAUUUCUGUGUAUGUGUACAUUUAGCUCAGAGGAUACCACCAAGCAAUUGAUCAAGGUGAUUAUUCCAGUCUCUACUCUAUUCAAAUCUAUAUUCCAGUCUAUAUUUCAGCCAUGUGUAGAGUUCUGCUUGUUUCACUGCCCUACAAACCCUUGGUAUUUUCCAUCUACUCCAUUGUUAUUUUCCUAGUGAACUUAUGGUGAUAUCUCAAUAUGAUUUUAGUUUUAAUUUGUGUUUAUUCUCUCUCUGAUGAAUUAAGUAUCUAUUUAUUCAUUUGUCUUUUUAUUUAUUUUUUUUUGUACCAGAGAUUGAACCCAGAGGCACUUAACCACUGAGCUUCAUCCCCAGCCCUUUUUAAUUUUUUAGUUUGAGACAGGGUCUCACUAAGUUGCUUAGUACCUCACUAAGUUGCUGAGGCUGGCUUUGAACUUGUGAUCCUUUCUUAUUCUAAGUGUCUCUUAAUCCAAAUAAGGUCCAUGCUUUUUUAUUUAACCUUCCAAUUUAUUUGCUGAGAAUAUUCUUAUCUUGUGGAGACUCAAUUCUGGAUUUUGCUGAUUGAAUCUGUAUUGGGUUGUUAUAUCCCUCUGUCUCCUUCUAUUUUACCUAAAUGGAUAUGUAGGUUUAAGACUUUAUUUUAGACUCAAGUGUUUGCACAAGGGGACCUCACAUGUAGGGGUGUGUAUUCUUGUAGGAUUGCAUCAGGAGCCACACUGUGUCUCUCCUGUGUAUUGAGAUUGGUUAUAGGGUUCAGGAGUGGGCAGCUUCAUCCAUCCAUUAUAAAAUUUUUCAUCUUCCUUUCACAUCAAGGUUCCCCCUGGUCUCUGAUGAUCAUUACCUUGAUCUGAAUUUCAUUAAAUUUUGUGAAAAUGAUGAUGUUCUAAUUCUGAUUUCUUCUGCAUACAUUUACUAGAAUCUUCUAUAAAAAUUUUUUUCCCUCAUCAAAUAUUCGGUUCCACUGGGGUAUGGGAUGAAGAGGAAGAUAGGAUGAGUUCUUUGUUUUUGUAGUAUUUCCACUUUUCAAAACAAUGAGUUGCACAAUCAGGAGAAUGCAAAUCAAAACUACACUGAAAUUUCAUUUCACCCUAGUCAAAAUAGCAAUGAUGAACAACAGAAAUACUGAUAAUUGUUGGUGAUAAUUUGGGGGAAAUGAUAGACUACUACAUCAUUGAUAUGGUUAUAAAUUAGUAUAACAACUUUGGAAAGCAGCACAGAGAUUCUUCAAAAGAUUAGGAAUGGAAACACCAUAUGACCCAGUUAUCUAAAUUCUUCGUUAUUUAUUCAUUAUUUAAAAUCACCAUACUGUAGUGACACAUGCAUAUCAACAUUUAUAACUGCACAAUCCACCAUAGCCAAGUUAAAGAACCAGACUAGGUGCCUGCCCAUCAAGAAAAUGUGAGAUUGAUCUAUCUAUCUAUCUAUCUAUCUAUCUAUCUAUCUAUCUAUCUAUAUGUGUGUAUAUCUCUCACACACACACACACACACACACACACACACACAAUGGAGUUAUGCUUAGCCAUAAGGAAGAAUGAAAUUAUGUCAUUUGUUGCUAAAUUAUUUCAUCUCCCUGCAUUCCAGGAUCUGGCUUUUAAAAGAGUCACAAAAAUAAUCCCCUUCAGGGUAACUGGGGUUCUUCUCAUGGAUAUUAUUUCAGGUCUGCAUUUCUUUUGCAGAUAACAAGUAGUUUGCUGAGGAAUGUGACAUAUCACUUAAACCAGGCAGGGCUACUGGUAAAUUGCUUCUUGGAAAAAAAGCACUUGGAAGUCAGCACAUGGACCUAUUUUAUAGAAUUAUUUUCUUAACCUUGUUUUUACCACUCACAUCUUUCUGUCCCCUAUCACCAAGAGGCUUGAUGGAAGAAGGCCUGGCCUAUGGGAUCCCUGUUUCUCUUUACACUGUCAGCAAUCAUGUAAGUCAUUCUUGUUAUGCAGCAGGAGUAGGUGUGUAUUAAGGCUAGAUGUGUUUUAUCGUGGAUGUUCUUCCAUUUGGAGAAAAUAUCAGGAAUGCAGGAUAAGAAUUCCUGAGAAUAAACUAUUGUAUGGUUAGAUUGAAUAGGUUUUUCCCUAAUAAACGUCUAUAUUAUUGUAGAUAUGCCUCCUUACAAUAACUCAAAUGGCAUUUUGGGUGUUCCUAGUUCAUUUAGUCCCAUGACUACGGACAGCCUCUUGCAUUUUCUGCCACAGAUGGCUAAUUGCAUAGGAUGGUAUGUAAGUUUUGCAUGUUCUCCUCUGAAGGCUAGCUCAACUUCAAGAGCCCUAGGAGACAUCUGUCCCUGGGUUUCUAUGGACAAAUGAUAUUCUCCUAAGGUCAUUUUUAAAGACAACACAAUUCCUGAUAGCAAAAUAUGCUUUAUUCCAACAACCUGGCCAGAGCGUUCCCAAACCCGCAAUCCCCACUUCUGUUAUCUAAUUAGUAUGGUUUCUCGUGUAUCCUGAAGGUUGAAGAUGUUUUGAUUUUAGAGAAAGCCCUAGGGACCGAAGGGGGAAAAAAAAUGCUUGAACGGCAUUUCUAGAGUAUAGGAACAACCUGCACAUUAUGGUAGCCAUAGAAACAUGAUGUCAUCAUAUUGACAGUGAUCACAUUAAACUGUUGUCUCCUUUGAAAAGGAGACAAACUUGCUCUGGUUGGAGAGCAGGGCUGUGCCUCCAGUUUUCUGAACUCAGCAUAGGGUGUGAGUGUCCUGUGGUGGGGACUGAGCCUCACUGGGUUGUGGGGAGAGGAAGGGAUCCCAGAACUGAGUUGUUUUGUUCCUACUCUGGGGCUUGGUGUCUCUACUGACUGGAGAGGAAGAGAGAUGUGGGACCCUCCUGGCCUCAGGCAGCAUGAUGUCCUGCCCCAAGGUGUCCUGGACCUACUUUCUAUAUAAAGAAGUGCUGGAGGAUGAGACAGGAAGGGUCCUCUGUGACUCAGCUUCUCCUCUGUAAAAUGGGGGUAGAAAUGCUCACCCAAGGGAUUACUGGUACUUUCAGUGAUAAAACACAGUGCAAGCCCAUAUCCCUGUAGUAUUGUAGGAUCAUAAAUGCCCGUAUGAAUUUAGGCCACUUCUUAUUCUUUUUCAAUUUUAUUUUUACAGGAUGAUAGACAAGGAACAGAGAAGGAACAGGCCAUGCUCUUCAUCUAGUGACUGAGCUCAUAUAAAGUGUCUAAAGAAGACAGUUUCUGAGGAUGGGGUCAUGAUGGUUGCUGAAGCUUCUACCCCAGAGCUGAAGGGCGGCAGUAUUCAGCAGACCACUGACACUUCCAUACUGAAAUGAUACCUUUCCUUGAGGUAGAAAUGACCUGGAAAAGAUGGAGAAUGAUGCCACCUGGUGAUGGGAGUCUGAAUUGUAGGAGUGAAAGUGUCCAGCAGGAGGCUUGCACACAGGUGGCCUGAAGGGUGGUGAAGGUGCUUUUAAGUGAGAGACAAUGGUACAGAAGGGAAGACUACAUGGAAGGCAUUUCUGGAAUACACUAACUUCCUGCACAUCUUGGUUGCCAUAGGAGCCUGGUGUCAUUAGGGUGACCAUGACUGCUCUUCUUCUGGUGACUGAGCUCAUAGCAGAUUUCUGGAGAAGAUAAUUUCUGAGGAUGUGGGUCAUGCUGGCGCUGAAGCUUCUACUCCAGAUCUGAAGAGUAGCAGUUCUCAGGAGACCCCCACACUUCCAUUCCUGGUUAAAAAAAAAUCUCUCUCUCUCUCUCUCUCUCUCUCUCUCUCUCUCUCUCUCUCGGCUCAAGUGCAUUCAGAGAUCUGAACUAGAGGAUAUGGAGGAAUAGCACACAGGAGAUUCACAGAUUAGCCAAAAAUUAGAGAAGCUACUCUGAUCUCAUCCUUGAAGAGGCCCAACAGUUAGAAUUUGCCUUCAGCAGCUACCAUGCUUUGUAGUACCCCUUGGCCCAUCUUAGAGAUACCUUGCUUUGUCCUAAAGUAAUGAAUAGUUCCAUAGGGAACUUGCUGUUUAACAUGUAUAUGCAAUGUAUAAUGAAAAUAUAUUUUUUUCACAUGAAAAAAUAGUAAUCAACAAAUCUCAUGUACCUCUCUUAUUGGUGUGGAAAUAUGUAGUUGAUUCAAUGGUCAAUUUUCUAGAAAUUUCAAAUUCUUUCAUAAAUUCUUCCUGAGUAGCUACACUUUUGUCUAUUGUCUAAUGAUUAUUUUUAAGCCAUAAAUAGCUCAAAAUCUCACUUAUAAGAAUUUAAAAAUUUAAAAGUAACAAUUACUGUGUAUUUUCCCAGGAACAUCUUUCAAAUGACCAUGUGCUCUUAAAUACUAUUAUGAUUUUAUUCCCAGAACAUCAUGUUUUAAGAACAUUCUCCCCUCACAUUUCUUUGUGCCAAGGCUACCACACAUCUUUUGAUAACAGAUUAGUUUUGAUUUCUUAUAAUUUUAUUUAAAUGGAAUUAGAUGGCUUAUACUUUUUUGGUCUGGCUUGUUUUAAUCAUCUUACAUAUUUGUUUUAGUUUUUAAAAUUAUCUUAGCCAUGAAUAUAUGAGACAGCAGAAGCAUUAUUUCUGAAUAUGUGAGAAAGAAUUUCUUGAUUAUUCAGCACAUACUAUCCACUAGAGGAAGAUUUGUGUAUGGGGAACAGGGAGAUUACCAGUUAUUUUGUGAAGCACCAAAAUAUCCAUUUCAUAUACACUGAAAGAGAAACACUAAAUUUAUCUUCAAAUUUAAAAUUAGAAUAAGUAUUUUUAAAAUGAAUAUAAUAAUUUAGAUUUAUUAAUCUUUCCCUAAAAAUGGAUGCUAUAUGGACUGAAUGAUUUUGUCCCACUACCCAAAUUGAUACCCAGUGUGGUAUUAUUUGGAUGUGUGACCUUUAAGAGGUGAUUAGGUUUAGAUGAGGUCAUGAGGGUAGCCUCAUAAUAACAGAGAUGUGAAUUAUCUCUCACUCUCUCAGCCACUUGAGGAUGCAGUAAGAAGACAAUAUAAUCAGAGUAGGAAUAGGACCUUUGCUAGAUAAAGAAACUGUCUGCACCUUGAUUCAAGGUGCAGACAGUUUCUUUAUCUAGAGACAAACCAUCCCGUCUCCAGAACUGUCAGUAAAAAAAAAAAAAUGUCUGUCUUUAAGACAACCAGUUCUUUAUCUGGAGACAAACAAUCCCGUCUCCAGAACUGUCAGUAAAAAAAAAAAAAUGUCUGUCUUUAAGACAACCAAUUAUGGUAGGUAAUCUGUGUUAUCAUCCCUAA